AUCCCUCUGGCUCAGUUGGUAGAGCAUGGUGUGUGCAACGCCAGGAUUGUGGGUUUGAUUCCCAUGGGGGACC
rnacentral:tRNA from 1 species